AUACGGAGGAUGCGAGCGUUAUCCGGAUUUAUUGGGUUUAAAGGGAGCGUAGGCGGGAGCUUAAGUCAGCGGUUAAAUGGUGCGGCUCAACCGUGCCCUGCCGUUGAAACUGGGUUUCUUGAGAGUGCAAGAGGCGGAUGGAAUUCAUGGUGUAGCGGUGAAAUGCUUAGAUAUCAUGAAGAACUCCGAUUGCGAAGGCAGUCCGCUGGGGCACGUCUGACGCUGAUGCUCGAAGGUGCGGGAAUCAAACAGGAUUAGAUACCCUGGUAGUCCACACAGUAAACGAUGAAUACUCGCUGUUUGCGAUAUACAGUAAGCGGCCAAGCGAAAGCGUUAAGUAUUCCACCUGGGGAGUACGCCGGCAACGGUGAAACUCAAAUGAAUUGGCGGGG
rnacentral:rRNA from 1 species